UACGUAGGGUGCGAGCGUUAAUCGGAAUUACUGGGCGUAAAGCGUGCGUAGGCGGUUUCUUAAGUCGGAUGUGAAAGCCCUGGGCUCAACCUGGGAAUGGCACUCGAUACUGGGAAGCUUGAGUGCGGUAGAGGAGGGUGGAAUUCCCGGUGUAGCGGUGAAAUGCGUAGAGAUCGGGAGGAACAUCAGUGGCGAAGGCGACCCUCUGGACCAGCACUGACGCUGAGGCACGAAAGCGUGGGGAGCAAACAGG
rnacentral:rRNA from 1 species